CCUUUAACGAGCGCAACCCUCAUUGUAUGUAUUUUUCAUGCGAGACUGGCCCUGGGUUAACAGGGAGGAAGGUGGGGAUGACGUCAGAUCAGCAUGGCCCUUACGCCUUGGGCUACACACGUGUUACAAUGGCUAGUACAAUGGGUUGCAAUACCGUAAGGUGGAGCUAAUCCCCAAAACUAGUCCCAGUUCGGAUAGAGGGCUGAAACUCGCCCUCUUGAAGUUGGAAUCGCUAGUAACCGUAAAUCAGCACGUUACGGUGAAUACGUUCCCGGGUCUU
rnacentral:rRNA from 1 species